CAGUCGCCACGGUAAUACAGAGGGUGCGAGCGUUAAUCGGAUUUACUGGGCGUAAAGCGUGCGUAGGCGGCUUCUUAAGUCGGAUGUGAAAUCCCUGAGCUUAACUUAGGAAUUGCAUUCGAUACUGGGAAGCUAGAGUAUGGGAGAGGAUGGUAGAAUUCCAGGUGUAGCGGUGAAAUGCGUAGAGAUCUGGAGGAAUACCGAUGGCGAAGGCAGCCAUCUGGCCUAAUACUGACGCUGAGGUACGAAAGCAUGGGGAGCAAACAGGAUUAGAUACCCCCGUAUCCCUGUCUCUUAUACA
rnacentral:rRNA from 1 species